AUUUUGGACAAUGGGCGCAAGCCUGAUCCAGACAUGCCACGUUUGUGAAGAAUGACUUCGUGUAGUAAAGCUCUUUCGGACGGAAAAAAAUCGCGCCCGCUAAUACCCCGCGCGAAUGACCGAACCGUCAAAAGAAGCACUGUCCAACUACGUUCCAGCCGCCGCGGUAAUACGUAGGGUGCGAGCGUUAAUCGGAAUUACUGGGCGUAAAGCGUGCGCAGGCGGUUGAUUAAGACAGGCGUGAAAUCCCCGGGCUUAACCUGGGAACUGCGCUUGUGACUGGUCAGCUAGAGUACGGCAGAAGGGGGUGGAAUUCCACGUGUAGCAGUGAAAUGCGUAGAGAUGUGGAGGAACACCGAUGGCGAAGGCAGCCCCCUGGGCCGAUACUGACGCUCAUGCACGAAAGCGUGGGUAGCAAACAGG
rnacentral:rRNA from 1 species